rnacentral:rRNA from 1 species
UACAGAGGGGGCAAGCGUUGUUCGGAAUUACUGGGCGUAAAGGGCUCGUAGGCGGCCAACUAAGUCAGACGUGAAAUCCCUCGGCUUAACCGGGGAACUGCGUCUGAUACUGGAUGGCUUGAAUUCGGGAGAGGGAUGCGGAAUUCCAGGUGUAGCGGUGAAAUGCGUAGAUAUCUGGAGGAACACCGGUGGCGAAGGCGGCAUCCUGGACCGACAUUGACGCUGAGGAGCGAAAGCCAGGGGAGCAAACGGG